UUGCAGCCAAAAAAGAUGCUACGACGCCUCUAAACUCACCGCUGCACAAAAAGGCAUUUACUAUGCCUGGGAAUAGGCCAAAGUCGACGACCAGAAAUACAGGCCAUCCCUCGGCCCACCAUUCUCUGAUCCUACAUGACUCAAGUUGGCCGGACUCAUCACUUCGCAGCAAUCCUGAAGGGUUCAAUCAGUUGAACGUAUUCAUGCUAAAAGGAACUAUGUCUCACGCCAACCCUAUGCACAUAGUUUCUUUCAGCAUAAAUAAGCAAUCCUCAAGGGUUCAAUGAAUUGAACGUAUUUGCGCUAAAAGGAACUAUGUCUCACGCCAAUCCUAUGCCACAUAGUUCCUUUUAUCAUAAACACGUCCAACUGAUCUUCUACAACGGCCUGACCAUGCGGAUUACCUCCCUGAGGCGAGACCACUGUGCUGUUAUUCCAAGGGCCUAACUAACUAUACCCUAACUAUUCCAAUAUAAACAAAUAACUGUGGGUGUUUUUUAACUGUCUCUCAAAGUCUCCAUUCAAAUGGGACACCCUGUAUCUCACACCUAGCGCGUAUUUUUUUUUUUUUUUUUUUUUUUUUUUUAUCAUCCGGUCGUAAAUAAUCCGAAAACUUCAGGAGCAGUGGAUCUUUGCUUCGUUUAAAAGUUAAUUUAACAACAGAGGCCCGAGGCGUGCUUCUCAGGAAUAAACUCGUGGUGAUGUCUUAAACUUGUGGAUCAGUUUUUUUGCCGUGGAUUUUCCGAAACCAAAAAUUGGUCAGCAUCUGCCUUUUCCCGAUUCCGUAUUGAUACUCCAGAGAAGAAGGUUGUGCCCCCUUUGGCUCCGUCUUGAAGAUAGUAUUUGAUGUAUUUCGUAUACUUAGCGCGCAUGUGUGGGUACUGUCUUGCGCUUAUUGCUGGGUAACCCGACUAUACGUAAUGAUUUGAACGUCAACGUACAAAUCAUUUAUUCCUUAUGUAGACGAAUCUCGACGAGCAAUUUUGAAUGAGUAAAUUUCUCUCGGAACUCUGGUUUUUUUCUUGACAAUUUCUCAUUACGAUAUAUUUUCUUAUGUUCAUUAUUAUUACUAUCCCGUCUUAAAUUACCUAACUUGAGCCUUUGAUAUUUCAGUCGUCUCACAUUGUAGUGAAGUACGAGUACACUGUGUGUUAUUGUAACACUGGCGUCAGUAAGGUAAAUUAUCCCUCCUUUAGUACAUUACAUAUAUUAUGCGAAAAUUUUCAGUUGUGGCAUGAGUUGACAUUCAUUUUAGACGUAAAUUUUAUUUGUACUCCAGUACCUCGAGUUGCACCUUCUUUCCACGAAGUAUCUCUCAACGCAUCCUCGAGUUUCAUACUCUUUAAGCCAUAAUCUGUUCUCAUGUAAUUUGAGUUUUACGCUCUUUACACAAAUAAUCUGUACUCGUGUAGGUUGAGUUUUACGCUCUUUACACACUCGUGUAAAUUGAGUUUUACGCUCUUUACACAAAUAAUCUGUAGGCUGUCAUGAUCCCCCCUAUAGGACGUGGGGAAGUGAGAGACGGACAACACAAAUGACUAUAAAAUGCUCAUAUUGAUAUUGGUGGAAAGCAUACCUACAAUUGAUUUUAGGAUGAACAGCAACUUAAGGCUCCGACACAAGAGGGGGGGGGGGGCUCCAGCGCCAAUGUCGGGGAGCCACGGACCAAAGCGAAUACGCGCCAAGUCCAAGAGUGGUUUCAGCGAAACUCGCCAAACCGAGGUUCUGGGCUGAUAAUGGAGCCUCAACUACCAGCGCCAGAAUCUGCUCUGUGAGGAUGCCCUGGCUUUAUAUAUGCACUGCCGAAACACGGCCGAGAUGCGAUGUGCCAACUAGUAAACACUCGUUGACGUCAUCGCCGUCAACCGGAUUUCGACAGUGCACUUUCCAAGGCCAUGACAAGGCGCAUAAGUUGAGUUUUACACUCUUUAUGCCAAAAUCCCUACUCGUGUAAGUUGAGUUUUACGCUCCUUACACAAAUAAUCUAUAGGCGCACAAGUUGAGUUUUACACUCUUUAUGCCAAAUCUCUACUUGUGCAAGUUGAGUUUUACGCUCUUUACACAAAUAA
rnacentral:lncRNA from 1 species